UCGCUUGCAGAUGGGCCCGCGGCGCAUUAGCCAGUUGGUGAGGUAACGGCUCACCAAGGCGACGAUGCGUAGCCGACCUGAGAGGGUGAUCGGCCACACUGGGACUGAGACACGGCCCAG
rnacentral:rRNA from 1 species